rnacentral:rRNA from 1 species
GACGAACGCUGGCGGCGUGCUUAACACAUGCAAGUCGAACGGAAAGGCCCUGCUUUUGUGGGGUGCUCGAGUGGCGAACGGGUGAGUAACACGUGAGUAACCUGCCCUUGACUUUGGGACAACUUCAGGAAACUGGGGCUAAUACCGGAUAGGAGCUCCUGCUGCAUGGUGGGGGUUGGAAAGUUUCGGCGGUUGGGGAUGGACUCGCGGCUUAUCAGCUUGUUGGUGGGGUGGUGGCUUACCAAGGCUUUGACGGGUAGCCGGCCUGAGAGGGGGACCGGCCACAGUGGGACUGAGAGACGGCCCAGAAUCCUACGGGAGGCAGCAGUGGGGAAUAUUGCACAAUGGGCGGAAGCCUGAUGCAGCAACGCCGCGUGCGGGAUGACGGCCUUCGGGUUGUAAACCGCUUUCGCCUGUGACGAAGCGUGAGUGACGGUAAUGGGUAAAGAAGCACCGGCUAACUACGUG